rnacentral:rRNA from 1 species
GAUGAACGCUAGCGAUAGGCUUAACACAUGCAAGUCGAGGGGCAGCAUAAUUUUAGCUUGCUAAGAUUGAUGGCGACCGGCGCACGGGUGCGUAACGCGUAUGCAACUUACCUUAUAGAGGGGGAUAGCCCGUUUAACGACGGAUUAAUACCGCAUAUACAAACAGCUCGGCAUCGAGUAAUUUGGAAAUGAAUUUCGCUAUAAGAUAGGCAUGCGUCCCAUUAGCUAGUUGGUGAGGUAACGGCUCACCAAGGCGACGAUGGGUAGGGGAACUGAGAGGUUGAUCCCCCACACUGGUACUGAGACACGGACCAGACUCCUGCGGGAGGCAGCAGUGAGGAAUAUUGGUCAAUGGACGCAAGUCUGAACCAGCCAAAUCGCGUGAAGGAUGACUGUCUUAUGGAUUGUAAACUUCUUUUAUACGGGAAUAAUCACAGAUACGUGUAUCUGUUUGAAUGUACCGUACGAAUAAGCAUCGGCUAACUCCGUGCCAGCAGCCGCGGUAAUACGGAGGAUGCGAGCGUUAUCCGGAUUUAUUGGGUUUAAAGGGUGCGUAGGUGGUCUGAUAAGUCAGCGGUGAAAUCUCCGAGCUCAACUCGGACACUGCCGUUGAAACUGUUAGACUUGAGUGUAGAUGAGGUAGGCGGAAUGCGUGGUGUAGCGGUGAAAUGCAUAGAUAUCACGCAGAACUCCGAUUGCGAAGGCAGCUUACUAAGGUACAACUGACACUGAAGCACGAAAGCGCGGGUAUCAAACAGG